CCAAAACUUCCAUGGUCUUGGCCAAUAUCUCGACCGCUUUUUCCCUGGAAAAAGCUGAUGGAGUCCGGAGGGGGCCUCCAGACACCCGGGGGGUCCCUCACCCUCUGCUGCAAGGCCUCCGGCUUCACCUUCAGCAGCUUCACCAUGGACUGGGUGCGACAGGCCCCCGGGAAGGGGCUCGAGUGGGUCGCAGGUAUUAGCUAUGGUGGUGGUACCACAAGAUACGCGCCGUCGGUCAAGGGGCGCUUCACCAUCUCCAGGGACGACUCCCAGAGCACGCUCACGCUGCAGAUGAACAGCCUCCGGGACGACGACACGGCCACCUACUACUGCGCGAAAAGUUAUGCUGGUGGUGGUGGCACCAACCCCUUCUCCAUGGAACAACAUCCCUGUGCUGUGUCCCCAAAUCAACCCUUCUUGGCCCAAAUCUGGAGCAUUUGCCACAAACCUUGACCACUUUUAUCCCCUCAUCGACCGAUUUUGCCCCAGUCGACCAUUUUUGCCCCAAAUCUCAACCAUUAUCAUGAAACCCUGACAAAUUUCUCACCAGACCUCCAUGGUUUGCCCCAAUCCUUGACCAUUUGCCCCAAUCCUUGACC